rnacentral:rRNA from 1 species
UACAGAGGGGGCGAGCGUUAUUCGGAAUUAUUGGGCGUAAAGGGCGCGUAGGCGGCCAUUCAAGUGACGGGUGAAAGCCCUCGGCUUAACCGAGGAACUGCCUGUCAGACUGGAUGGCUCGAGACCGGGAGAGGUGAGUGGAAUUCCCAGUGUAGCGGUGAAAUGCGUAGAUAUUGGGAGGAACACCAGUGGCGAAGGCGGCUCACUGGACCGGAACUGACGCUGAGGCGCGAAAGCGUGGGGCGCAAACAGG